AGUGACCAUGAAAUGGUAGAGUUCUCAAUUCUUGGUGGAACCAGGAUAGGGGACAGCAAAACUGCUACCUUGGACUUUAGGAGGGCAGACUUUGAAUUGUUCAGGAGACUGGUAGGGAGGGUCCCUUGGGAUUUGGUCUUGGAGGGUAAGGGGGUCCAGGAAGGCUGGUUGCUCCUCAAGAAGGAAGUCCUGAAGGCACAGGAACAGGCUGUCCCCCUGAGCCGCAAGAUGAGCCGUCGGGGAAGGAGACCAGCAUGGAUGAACAGGGAGCUUUUCCUGAGGCUCCAGGAGAAAAAGAGAAUCUACCUCCCGUGGAAGAAGGGACAGGCAACUCGGAGAGAGUACAAAGAGGUUGUUAGGAUGUGCAAGGAGAAAAUUAGAAAGGCAAAGGCCCAGCUCAAACUAAGCUUGGCUGCUGGGAUAAAAGGGAACAAGAAACUCUUCUACAAAUAUAUUAACAGUAAUAGGAGGACCAAGGAGAAUCUCCACUCUUUACUGGACACGGCUGGGAAUGUGGCCACUGAGGACAAUGAAAAGGCUGAGGUUCUCAAUGCCUUCUUUAAGUCUGUCUUUAAAAGCCAGACCAGUUGUCCUCAGAGUACUCUACUCUCUGACCUGGAAGUCUCAGAUGGGGAGCGGAAUAAACCCCCCAUGAUUCAGGAGGAAACGGUCAGAGACCUACUACUCCAUCUGGACUGCCACAAGUCCAUGGGGCCGGACGAGAUCCACCCGAGAGUACUGAGGGAGCUGGCAGAGGAGAUAGCCAAGCCACUUUCCAUCAUCUAUCAGUGUUCCUGGUCAACUGGAGAGGUCCCAGAAGACUGGAGACUUGCCAAUGUGACUCCCAUUGACAAGAAGGGUCGUAAGGAGGAUCUGGGAACUACAGGCCUGUCAGCCUGACCUCAGUGCCAGGGAAGGUUAUGGAGCAGAUUGUCCUGAGGGAAAUCAUGCAGCAUUUGCAGGACAACCAGGGGAUUAGGCCCAGCCAGCAUGGGUUUUUGAAAGGCAGGUCCUGCUUGACCAACCUGAUCUCCUUCUAUGAUCGAGUGACCCGCCUGGUGGAUGAGGGAAAGGCUGUUGAUGUGGGCUACCUAGACUUCAGCGAAGCCUUUGACACUGUCUCCCACAAUAUUCUCCUGGAGAAACUGGCAGCCCCUGGCCUGGACAGCUACA
rnacentral:lncRNA from 1 species